rnacentral:rRNA from 1 species
CAGCAGCCGCGGUAAUACAGAGGGUGCAAGCGUUAAUCGGAAUUACUGGGCGUAAAGCGCGCGUAGGUGGUUUGUUAAGUUGGAUGUGAAAGCCCCGGGCUCAACCUGGGAACUGCAUCCAAAACUGGCAAGCUAGAGUACGGUAGAGGGUGGUGGAAUUUCCUGUGUAGCGGUGAAAUGCGUAGAUAUAGGAAGGAACACCAGUGGCGAAGGCGACCACCUGGACUGAUACUGACACUGAGGUGCGAAAGCGUGGGGAGCAAACAGGAUUAGAUACCCCAGUAGUCCCUGUCUUUUAUCC